CUGAUGCAGCGACGCCGCGUGAGGGAUGACGGCCUUCGGGUUGUAAACCUCUUUCAGUAGGGAAGAAGCGAAAGUGACGGUACCUGCAGAAGAAGCGCCGGCUAACUACGUGCCAGCAGCCGCGGUAAUACGUAGGGCGCAAGCGUUGUCCGGAAUUAUUGGGCGUAAAGAGCUCGUAGGCGGUUUGUCGCGUCUGCUGUGAAAGCCCGGGGCUCAACCCCGGGUCUGCAGUGGGUACGGGCAGACUAGAGUGCAGUAGGGGAGACUGGAAUUCCUGGUGUAGCGGUGAAAUGCGCAGAUAUCAGGAGGAACACCGAUGGCGAAGGCAGGUCUCUGGGCUGUUACUGACGCUGAGGAGCGAAAGCAUGGGGAGCGAACAGGAUUAGAUACCCUGGUAGUCCAUGCCGUAAACGUUGGGCACUAGGUGUGGGGGACAUUCCACGUUUUCCGCGCCGUAGCUAACGCAUUAAGUGCCCCGCCUGGGGAGUACGGCCGCAAGGCUAAAACUCAAG
rnacentral:rRNA from 1 species